rnacentral:rRNA from 1 species
AGUGAACGCUGGCGGUAGGCCUAACACAUGCAAGUCAAACGGCAGCACAGUAAGAGCUUGCUCUUACGGGUGGCGAGUGGCGGACGGGUGAGGAAUACAUCGGAAUCUACUUUUUCGUGGGGGAUAACGUAGGGAAACUUACGCUAAUACCGCAUACGACCUACGGGUGAAAGCAGGGGAUCUUCGGACCUUGCGCGAUUGAAUGAGCCGAUGUCGGAUUAGCUAGUUGGCGGGGUAAAGGCCCACCAAGGCGACGAUCCGUAGCUGGUCUGAGAGGAUGAUCAGCCACACUGGAACUGAGACACGGUCCAGACUCCUACGGGAGGCAGCAGUGGGGAAUAUUGGACAAUGGGUGCAAGCCUGAUCCAGCCAUACCGCGUGGGUGAAGAAGGCCUUCGGGUUGUAAAGCCCUUUUGUUGGGAAAGAAAAGCAGCAGGUUAAUACCCCGCUGUUCUGACGGUACCCAAAGAAUAAGCACCGGCUAACUUCGUG